rnacentral:lncRNA from 1 species
CAUUUAUUCACAAGGGGAGAAAGAGAGAGAGAGAGAGAGAGAGAGAGAGAGAGAGAGAGAGAGAGAGAGAGAGAGAGAGAGACAGAGACAGAGAUAGAGACAGAGAGACAGAGAGGUUCUAAGUCUGACAGAAGGUACUCAGCAAAAGAAGCAAUAGGUCGUUUGUGGAAGAUGAGAGGGAAAAGAAGAGGGAAGACUAGUUUCAGUGAAAGGAGGGAAGGAUACUUGCCUACUCAGAAACAAGAGAUAAGAAUGGGGGAAAUGUUAAAAGGAACUCCAAUUUUUGGAUUUACUUUUAAAAAAAAGAAAAAGGACAUCAACAUUAUGACCAACAAAUAAGUGCCACAGC